rnacentral:tRNA from 1 species
GGGCGGGUAGCUCAGUGGUAGAGCGCUAAAAACAUCCUUAUUCACCCCUUGCCUGCAAAGGCCGACGAAUGAGGGUUAUCGCAAUCACGCUAGAGGUCGGGGGUUCGAAUCCCUCUCCGCCCACCA